rnacentral:misc_RNA from 1 species
UUUUCUUUUCUUUCUUUUUUUGUUGUUUUCUUUUCCAAAUCAUAUCUGUACUUGAAGAGAAAUAAAUUUAGUUGUGGAUUCUCUAUAUUGAGAAAAAAACGAUCGCAGCUGCUUCAACCCCAUUUCUUUGGGAAUAAAAAUGUCCCAUAAAGGAGGAAUUUUUGAUAACCAAUCUUUGAAUCAGAUUCCAGACCUCUCACUGCACAUAAGCCUUCCAAAUAGAACUCCUUCUUCAAUAUGCACUGGUACAAAUGAUGCUGAUGAUUCAACUUUUGAUGUUUGGCGCAAAGACGAUGCCCUGAAAUCACACAAAGACAGUUCAAUGAAAGUUGGGUCUGAACCAGAUGAAACCAUCUGCCUUUCUUUAGCGGCAAAUCCUGCGCCUACUAUAGCUUUAGAAGUAGAAAGCCCUUGGAGAAGAAUAAGCUACGCUGGAGGUGGCGGCGGCAGCCAAGCCGAUCAAGCAAGGCAAAGAAAUUUUCUUCUUCAAAGUGCUAACGGUGGCUCUAUGAGUCAAAUAAAUCAUGGGAUCUCAGGCUUCAAACCCUUAAAAGGGAUUCCAGUUUACAAUAGCUGGAACAUCAAUUCUGGAGAGAUGGAUCCCAGAUUUUGCUUUAACCAAAUACCUUAUUCAUCAUCUUGCACUCCUUACCCAUGUUCUUCUCCAGGUGAUACCUGCAGUUCUUUUCCGGAUUAUAGAAUGGGGACAUCAUCAGUUCCACCACAGUAUCAGUACCAUCAGUAUGAGGGUGGAGUGGUAGGAGGUGCACAGGUUUAUGGAGGUGAAAUGAUUAGAUCAAGAUUUAUACCAAAGCAACAAAACAAGAGGAACAUGAGAGCACCAAGAAUGCGAUGGACGAGCUCUCUCCAUGCUCGUUUUGUUCAUGCUGUGGAGCUCCUUGGGGGCCAUGAAAGUACUGGAUUAGAUCUCUCUUCAAUCACUGCUACACAUGUUAAUUAGUUUUUUUCAGAAGCUAGUUUCUAUUGGGUUGGGGGUUUAAAAAAUCCUUCUUUUAAUCAGAGAUUGUAACGUUUACUUUAUAGGAGCUACACCCAAGUCAGUUUUAGAGCUGAUGGAUGUCAAGGAUCUAACACUAGCGCAUGUCAAAAGCCAUUUACAGGUCUGGCCUGAGCUCUGAACAUAUUAUAAAAUUUUCAGCCUUUUUAAUUAAACACAGCACAACCCUUUGUUUCUUUAUCUCUCUCUUCUGUGCUGCGGUGGAGACUUUGGGCAUGAAAACGGGCACGAAAGCCGAUGAGUGCAGUGAAUGAAUGAACAGUUGAGUGUUCUGUUUGUGAUACAGGACAAGUUCUACUUUUUUAGGGAGAGAAAGAGAAAGAAAAGAGAAAAAGUAGCCAUCAUUUCUCAAUAAUAGAAGCAAUUACUAACCUUACCAAACAUCAACCUCGUGGUUAAUAAACAAACCAAGAAAAAUCCAGAAAGAGAAGCAUCUGAUUUGAUUUUUCUAUUUUCUUGACUG